rnacentral:rRNA from 1 species
AGUGAACGCUGGCGGUAGGCCUAACACAUGCAAGUCGAACGGGAGCACAGUAAGAGCUUGCUCGUACGGGUGGCGAGUGGCGGAGGGGUGAGGCAUACGUCGGAAUCUACUUUUUCGUGGUUGAUAUCGUAGGGAAACUUACGCUAAUAGCGCAUACGACCUACGGGUGAAAGCAGGGGAUCUUCGGACCUUGCGCGAUUGAAUGAGCGGAUGUCGGAUUAGCUAGUUGGCGGGGUAAAGGCCCACCGAGGCGACGCUCAGUAGCUGGUCUGAGAGGCUGAUCAGCCACAUGGGAACUGAGACACGGUCCAGACUCCUACGGGAGGCAGCAGUGGGGAAUAUUGGACAAUGGGCGCAAGCCUGAUCCAGCCAUACCGCGUGGGUGAAGAAGGCCUUCGGGUUGUAAAGCCCUUUUGUUGGGAAAGAAAAGCAGCAGGUUAAUACCCCGCUGUUCUGACGGUACCCAAAGAAUAAGCACCGGCUAACUUCGUG